rnacentral:rRNA from 1 species
GACGAACGCUGGCGGCGUGCUUAACACAUGCGAGUCGAACGGAAAGGCCCUGCUUGUGUGGGGUGCUCGAGUGGCGAACGGGUGAGUAACACGUGAGUAACCUGCCCUGGACUUUGGGAUAACUUCAGGAAACUGGGGCUAAUACCGGAUAGGAGCUCCUGCUGCAUGGUGGGGGUUGGAAAGUUUCGGCGGUUGGGGAUGGACUCGCGGCUUAUCAGCUGGUUGGUGGGGUAGUGGCUUACCAAGGCUUUGACGGGUAGCCGGCCUGAGAGGGUGACCGGCCACAUUGGGACUGAGAUACGGACCAGACUGCUACGGGAGGCAGCAGUGGGGAAUCUUGCACAAUGGGCGGAAGCCUGAUGCAGCAACGCCGCGUGCGGGAUGACGGCCUUCGGGUUGUAAACCGCUUUCGCCUGUGACGAAGCGUGAGUGACGGUAAUGGGUAAAGAAGCACCGGCUAACUACGUG